CCAUAGUUGGAACAGCUUCCAGUUCCUCAAACUCACUGCAGUUUAACAUAAAAGGAACUUGAUGACCAAUUUAAGUAAUAAUUAGAUGAUAUAAGAGGUUAGGGAAAAUGAUGAGUGGACCCUUAUGGAAGAUGAUUUCACCUUAGCUAAACACGAAAAUAAAAUGAAAUCAAAGCUGAAUCCUCGAGUGCAAUGCAAAUAAUUUUUUCUCUCUCUUCUCUAACUCCUCUUAUUCGAAAUUGCUCAUCAUUGUGCAGUUCCUCGAGAUUUUGCUAGAAUAGAGAAAGCUAUUCUCCCGUUAAGUGCAGAGGAAAAAGAAGGGCAAGGGCCUGGUAUGAUGCUAUUCUAUAGGAAGUGAGAAGGUGAAGGGCUAAAAUAUUUUGCAAUUUGGAGGUGGUGUUUGUUAGUGUGUGUACUUCUGAAUUUAUUACCUCUUUAGGAUCCAUAGAAAUUGCCUCUUGUUCAGCAUGCACUGUGCCUACGAGUAAGGCGAGCUUGCAUGGUAUCUAUUGUCUAUUUACUUGGAUAUUCAAACAGGACUACCAGCAACCAAACACAAAUCCCCAAACAAAACACUCUUUCAAGUGCAAGGAAAGAGUAACUUGGGCAUAUUUAUGGUUCAAGCACUACCAUAACUAAGAAUGUGAUGCUGUCCACAAACACUAUAUCAGUGCCUUUUGAACUACAUCACAUGCUCGAAGACUUUUUUUUUAGUCAUACAUAAAUUAGCUAUAAAAUUAAGACCAUUAUACAACUAAAAAGAAAGAAAAAUUGUUUGCCACUACAUAUCAAAACUGGUAAUAGCAAUGUAAGAUGGCAGACUUCUUACUUAAACAGAUGAGAGGCUACAAAUAAAAAAUUUGUGCAAAUAAAAUAUAUGAUAAAGAGCAUAAUACCUUCUUGGGGGCUAAAAAUAAUAUACAACUUGUGAAAUAUAAAUUGAGCUACCAUUACCUUUUAGAUGUGGCAACUUUCGACUUUUGAGGCACCUUGGAAUAUGCAUUCAGAAUCCUGCAUUUGGAAACCAAAUAAACAACGUUAAUAACAAUUUUACAAUAGAAAAAUUAAAAAUUGAUAAAUGGCAGUUGUAAUUUAUGUAUGCGUAAAGAUAGCUUCACAUCCAGGGUCCUCCCAUAAACAUGCUUGUAACAAGAAUUAGUUUGCCUCAACUGCUAGCAACUAUACAAUAGUAAAAAUCACUCUUAUGAACUCAACAAUACUAGGCACCAAUAAGAGUAUGAUACAGCCAUUCUAAAUGGAAGAGAAUACAACUGUUUUACAACUAUGUUGCAUCAGGAGAUAUGUUAGGAGGAUUAAUCCAGAUACCUUCCAACCCAAUUAGGAAAACUCAAGGUCAGAAACCAGGAGCUGCAACCAAACCUUACAAUCUUGAAGGAAGAAGGAGACUUGGGGCAUUUUUCCAGAUAGGUGACUUACAAGAUCUCCUGCCAAGAAAAUAUCUACUGCUUCGAACCUCCAUUGAAAUUUCUUUUCCGUUUUUCUUGUUUUGACUUGGAACUUUCCAGCAUCAUCUAUUUGAUCUUUUUUAAAGCUAAAAUAGCAAUCUAUGGGUUGUCAACAUCUUACCCCCCCCCCCCCCCCCGGGGGGCCCCCAAAAAAAAAACCAAUGAGUUGUCAAUAAAUAGCGCCUACUCAACUUAUGUUCUCCAAUGGAUGACAAUGUGCAAAUCGACCUAGCAGCCACAUUUUUCCCCCCUUUAAACCACCAUUAGGCAACUUUUCUAACCUUUCUUUAUUGCCCACGUCUACAGAACUAUCAUAUAAAGACUACAUUAUUAUUGGGAUAGAGAAAAAAAUACAGACUAUAUUAUUAUUAUAUCUCAUUUUAUUAAUUAACUAGUGCAAGACUUAUUUAGUGUCAAAUCAAGAACUAAUUAGAAAAGACAACUCAUGAUAAUACAGACCUUAAAAAGCAAUAGCUAGGACCACCCCAUGUACUCCUAUUUUAGCCUUCAAUAUCCUGGUAAAAACACAAUUAAGUCUUGCAAAAGAACAUUCACAAGUAAAUUCAACAUUAAUUAAGAUUAAGUAUCUACUGCACCUUCAAUCAAUGACUGGGUGAAUAGCAUGGUCAACCAUCCAGUUCCUGUAGCCCUCCUUGUACCUAUGUUAGUUACAUUUUACAUAUUAAGACACGAAAAUGAAGGAUCACAGCCUGGUAAAGAAAGCCAUUAAUUAAUAGUUUUUGUUUAAAAAGUUCUCGUUUAGAUCUUUCCUAUUCAAUGAAUCAAUGUAAUCCAAGGAGAACUCUUCCAUUUCAAGCAGUGUUAGAAGAUAAUUGGAAAGCCUAAAGAUAAUAUACAAGGACCAAGAUAUCAAUUAGGUCAAAUAGUGAAUGUCAAAUAUAAAAAAUAAAUAAAAGAAGUUGUACAUGAUCAUUUACUAUCAAGUUCUGUAAAACUGAAAAUACCAUUAUCCCUGUAGAGAUUCUCAAACAACUCUUUAGCAAAUUAUAAAAUAAUUAAAAAAAGAACGAAAGUUUAAAAAAAAAAAAUGUACAACAGCCAUAUCAGGAGAUGUUUUUCUUCUCAAUCUCAAUAUUUUCUAGCCGUAAAACAAUUGAAAAGCUUAACACCAAGUGAAUUAUUAAGAAUUCAUCAUUUAAAUUCCCAAAUCGCGAAAUGUUGGUGCAACUAGGAAAGUGCAAAUGCAAUCACUUUACUAACACAAGAAACAUCAAUAGUGAGAAGCCAACUUUGUAUCAAAUUUGAAACAGAUAGAUAGAGGUCAAAAAAAUUAUAAAGACACUCAAUUAAAAGCCUUUCAAACAGCUUUUGCAUGCAACAAGAACAAAUCAAAGGCGAUGUGAAUGUAUUGAAAGACUAAUUUACAAUCAUCUACAGGACAUAAAUAUCUUGGAUAACUACUCUCUAUACCCUACUGUCCCACUGAAAAUCAUCAAAUCCCUCCAAACAAAAAUGACAAAAUGGAUAAGAAUUGUGUGGUCAAACUUCAAUAACUUAGCAGCCAGAGCAAAAACUUAUGUAGACACGCAAGCCACUCAAAAUAGUCAUAUUGUUUGCUUUCCAAACACAAGCCACUUUGUAAUGAAUAUUCAUAAAUUGCUACUACCAUGUUUGUUAAAACACGUGAAAACUACCAUCACUAACUAAAUGUAACUAAUGAUCAUCAUCACGUUCAUGGAAUCACAUGUCUGACAGUAUUAAUUAGUGCAAAUGGCAUGCUUCUUAAAACUCCUUAUUUAUCACAUGGGCGCCAUUCCAAUCAACCAAUGAUUCUGAUCUAGUCAGCAUAUUCAACCUACGAGCCAGUAAUACCUCCAUUGCUUCUUUAGAUUUCUCAACAAAAUUCCACAUUCUAACCAUACUUCUGAACUUGUUGCUCCCAUAGACUAAUACAAUAUAAAGAUUUCUUCCCACACCACCUCAGCCCCCACUCCUAAAAAACCAAUUUAAAUUCUCAUUGACUGUACAACCUAUAGUCCAUACCAAAUUGAAAAACUUACAAAUAUAGAACCUCAAAGAAUCUUCUUGCGUUCCAUUUUUUACAGCAAGAAAAUUGACUUUUACCACAUGCAAGUCAACAAAUAAAACAAUCAUGUCUUUGUGAGAUGCACAUUUUCAGACGAAUCUGAAGAACAAUGAAACCAUAAAAACCUAAUAUGAGAACACUGAGGACUCCAGAUAUCAUCUAUAGAAUCUUUGGUCCACCCUUGCAUAAUGAAAAAAAAUUGAAGGCUUCGUCACCAACUCCCCAGGUUGUUUUGUUCUCCUAUCUCCUAAAUCUAAAGGAAAGGCAACCCGUUCAUUUUCCAAUCUUAAGGGGCACAGAACGACUCUGGUAUAAAAUAGUCAGUUUCUAUACAAAAAUAACUCCUUUGCACUUGGCAUUCCACAUCUCGAAAUAAAAAGCAUGCAAGGAGGAGAAUAUAAUAGCAUUAAACAAGUUUUAUUAACCAAACUUCAAAGAUGCCAGACAAGGCAAAAAAGGAAUCUGUACAAGCCAGAUCCCAAGAAUAAUAAUUCCAAUAUACAAUUCACGAAAACAAUAACUAAAACCAUGUUCAUCAGGCCUCAGCAGAAGCAACAUGUAAUAGCCAUACUCUAUUAUUUGAAACACAUUUCCAAGUUUGGAAAAGAUUCUAAACUAUUCUCGAUCUGUCAAUUAUUAACAUGUAAAACAUAAUAAUAUACGCUUAAACUACUACAGUAGUAAAACCAGUAAAACAACAAUACCUGCUAAAAAGAUUUGCUACCUCUUCACAUUCGCGAGCAUUGUAGAACCAAAUCCCAUUUACUUCUUGGGAUGCAUUUCGAUAUAACAAAUACGGAACCUGAACUUCAAACUCAAAAUCUCCCAAAAGAUUUUUCACUAAAUUAUCUGCACAUAUCCAAGAUAUUGAAGCUUCUCAGUGCAAAAACAUAUGCAAAAAGACAUGAAGGUUAGGAGACAUAACUAAAACUUAGCAACAACUGAUAAGCACAACAAGAAAUGAAAUAUAACACGAGUUGUAAACAAGAUAGACGCACGGUAUCUAAAUAAUUGUACCAACCCCCUCUCCUGAUUGUCAUAAAACGGCCAAUAUUUAACGCUAGACAACAACAUGGCAAAUACUCUAGCCUCUAUAUUAUUGGCAUAUAAAUAUUUUCGGUUGGGUACAUUAUAUUCUUCGUUCUAAAACCUCAAUCAUUAGCUAGUACUGUGAUAAAAUGAUUCAUCACUGAAAUUAAAACUAGUUCACGUACAAAUAAUCAAAACUGAAAUAGAAACAAGGACAAACCAACCCGUAUUACGUCGAUUCAUUACAACAAACUGAAAUCGAGGCUGUGUGUUCCUGAAAAUUGAAAAAAUAAUAAUUUCACCAACUUCAUAUGUAAUACAAUCUCCAAAACAACGAAUAUCAAAUGAAAAAAUGGAAAGCAUAAGAGAGAAAAGAAUCUAAUUUUAUUGACCUUUUGACGACGAAGAGAGAUCCUUCAACAUCCUUAUGACUCCAUUGGCUGAGGUCGAUGUUGAACUCGUAGAAGGUGACAUGAGCGGCCGUGAUGAGGAUCUCCUCAAUGAAUGGAUCGAUUCGCUGAAGAACUGUCAGGUUUAGGAGUUUUGUGCUCUGCUGGUCCAGAUUAGCCAUUAAUUUUCCGUUCUGCGACAUUUUUCAUAGUCCUUUUGGGCUCUGCCCCGAGCACAAGCGCCAUGGUUUUUCUGUGAGCUCUCUCUUUUGUAAAUAAAGUGUUUGAUGAGAUAGCCGAGAGAGAGUGAAAGAGUUGAGACUCGAGAUUGAUCUUGCUUUAACUUCUUUCAAACAUUUGGGAAAUAGCAUUUAGACCCCAAAAUUAGAUUUAUUAUAAUCAUUUUUUACCCGUACACUAUUAAUCCCUUUUAUUUUUUAAAUUGUCAAUAUUAAUGUAUUAGAAUAAUGUUAGAAAUCCCAAUUAUUAUCUCAAUGUUUCAAUCAUAACUAAUGUGAUAACUCAUCGGUGACUGUAACAUUAACCUAAUUAUUAAUGUUUAUCAUGAAAUGAUGAGAUUAUUAUUCAAGAAAAACUUAGUAAACAUCAAUGACUAAUAUAAUAUGACAAUUACAGCUGAAUAUUAGUACAAUAAUUAGGAUCCCUAAAGUUAGUGAAUGUAUUAUAAUAUAUGUGUGUUACACUAUUUUAUGUCUCUCAAAUUCAAUUAAGUAAUUUCAGAGACCUAACCUUUUAUUACAUUAAAUUAAGAAUGUAUACAUGAACAAAAGAUGUGCAGUUUUUGUUUUAUUUUUCACUAUUAUUUGCCAUUCAUCUACGUACGUCACUUGAUUUUUUGCGAUUAAUAUGCUUAAAUGGAUCUCUUUGAUAUAAAUAAAAUAAACGAAAAGUCUAAGAGAAAAAAAAAAUGAGGACCGAAAUUAUUACACCUACAACAAAUUUGCCCAGAGAGCAAUAAAUCAAACUUGCUUAGGAAGUUCAACAAUGAUUAGUUAAUAACUAAAAGAGCCUUCACCUAACAUGUUAAAGCUUCCGUCAAGCACAAACCCAUUGAAAGCUGUUUAGGUCCGUUUUCGAUCAUCGGAAAUUUGACAAAAUCAUAAAAACCCUCAUCUUAGAAAUUCCAAGCAUCAGGCAAUAGUCCGACUUUAUUGAUAUUGAGAGUAACACAAUAAAAGUUUCGUACAGAUUUUGCAAACGAAAAGCACAUAAUACACUUAACUAGGUGGAAAAAUUAAAGUGUAUGUAUUACAAACUGCUAACAAUAUACAAUAGUAAAAAUCACUCUUAUGAACUCACAAAUACUAGGCACCAAUAAGAGUAUGAUACAGCCAUUCUAAAUGAAAGAGAAUACAACUGUUUUACAACUAUGUCACAUCAAGAGAUAUGUUAGCAGGAUUAAUCCAGAUACCUAGGGAUGGCAACUGGAUCGCUCUAUAAUGGAUAUCCACAAUAUCCAUCCAAUUGGAUCGGAUAAUAUCCAUCCAAAAAUUUUUAGAUUUUGAAAUGGAUAUUUUAAAAUUAUAUCCAAAUGGAUAUGGAUGGAUAUAGAUAAUUAUUUUUACCCAAUGGAUAUCUAUUUAACCCAACACAAGUUUAAAAAAUUUUAAUUUUAUAAAAUAAAAAAUAAAAAAUAUAAUAAACAAACAAUUGUAAAAAUAUUAUAUUAACUAGUGAAAAUUUUAAAUUCAUCUUAUAUUAAAAACUAAAGUUUUCAAAAUUAUCCUUUAAUUUUUUAACUUAUUUAAUAUUAUUAAAAAUUAUUAUUUUAUUUUAUUAAUUUAAUAUUAUAAAUGGACAUCCACCGGAAAGUCACCGGACCUCCUCCGGAAUUCACCGGAAAGUUGCCGGACCACCGUCGACUUCGCCGGAAUUCGCUGGAAAGUUGCCGGACCACCGCCACCAACCACCAGACCGCCAUUUUAUAUAUAUAUAUAUAUAUAUAUAUAUAUAUAUAUAUAUAUAUAUAUAUAUAUAUUAUUACUAAUAUAAAUAGUUUAAUAACCAAAUUUAAUAUUGGAAUUUUAAUUAUUUUAUAUUAUUAUUUUUAUAUAAUAAAAAUAAAAUAUCCAUAGAUAUUCAUGGGUCUCCAUAGUUAUAUGGAUAAAAUCUAUAUCCAUGUCCAAUAUUAAAUACUGGAUAUGGAUAUAGAUAUAUCCAUUAUCGAUAAUUAUGGAUUUGUGUUUGGAUGGAUAAUAUCCAUCCAUAAUUGAAUAUUUGCCAUCCCUACAUAUACCUUUGAACCCAAUUAACCAACUCGAGUCAGAAACCAGGGGCCCCCAACUGAACCUUACAAUCUUGAAGGAAGAAGGAGACUUGUGGUCCAGAUAGGAGACUUACUAGAUCUCCUGCAAAAGAGAAUAUCUAUUGCUUUGAACCUCCAUUGAAAUUUCUUUUUCUCUUUUUCUUGUUUUAACUUGGAACUUUCCAGCAUCAUCUAUUUGAUCUUUUUUGAAGGUAAAAUAGCAAUCUAUAGGUUGCCAACAUGUUAUUCUGCCAAACCCCACCCCCCGGGGGACAACAAAUAGUGCCUACUCAACUUAUGUUUUCCAAUGGACGACAAUAUGCAAAUCGACCCAGUAGCCACAUUUUUCCUCCCUUUCAACCACCGUUAGGCAACUUUUCUAACCUUCCUUCAUUGCCCACACGUACAGAACUAUAAUAAAAAGACUACAUUAUUAUUGGGGUAGAGAAAAUAUGCAGACUAUAUUAUUAUUACAUCACAUUUUACUAAUUAACUAGUGCACGACUUAUUUAGUGUCAAAUCAAGAACUAAUUAGAAAAGACAACUCUUGAUAAUACAGACCUUAACAAGCAAUAGCUAACAACAUCCCAUAUACUCUUAUUUUAGCCUUCACUAUCCUGGUAAAAACACAAAUAAGUCUUGCAAACGAACAUUUAUAAGUAAAUUCAACAUUAAUUAAGAUUAGGUAUCUACUGCACCUUCAAUCAAUGACUGGGUGAAUAGCAUGGUCAACCAUCUAGUUCCUGUAGCCUUCCAUGUACCUAUGUUAGUUACAUUUUAUAUAUUAAGCCAUGAAAAUGAAGAACUCUUCCAUUUCAAACAGUGUUAGAAGAUAUUUGCAAAGCCUAAAGAUAACAUACGAGGACCAAGAUAUACACAGAUAGUUUCUUUACGGGACUAAAGAGCUUUUUUAGAUGUUAAAACUGUUUCAAACUCUUUUUCUUGUUUGGUUUAACUAAGGAAGAGCUUGUGGAAGAUUAAAAAUGAUGUUUCCUGUUCUCUGUAGGAAGCUUUUAGGAGAUUUUUUGGGUUUUUUUGAAAGGUUGAAUUGUCAAAAAUACCUUGAUGUUAUUGUUUGCUAAAAGAUGUUAUGGACAACUAAACAACCAACAACAUUUUGUUAAAAGCUCUACUAGUGUAGGAUCUACUUAAAGAAGCUAUACCAAACAGAUUCUUAGACUAAAUAACUCGAUCUUAAGUUUGUAAAAUUGGGCUCAGAAUCUCCACUAACAACCCCGCUUCGGUGAGAAAGCCCAAGCCUGUUACUUUGUAUAACCUUAUUCUGUAUGUUUGAUUGCAGGAACUGGCCGAUCAUACCGACGAGGUGAGUGUGCAACAUGAGGUGCUUGACGGGAUGUUUACUUUCUAUGAUACAACUAAAGCUAGCCUCAACAUAUAUCAGGUGCCUGCUUGUUUUUACCUUCUAGAUACUAAUAUUGUUUAGACGUGUAAUCUCUCUCUCCAUUGAACGCUAGACGGCUCGUCUCAAGCCUUCUACGUACAUCAGAGUCCUUCUUUAGCUUUUUAUGUAUAAAGUUUUGAUCUUUUUCCUUCAUUUGCUUGAAGCUCAUUACUGCAGAUUUUUUUUACAGGUUGCUAGUGUAACAUUCGACUUGCUGUUGCUUCUAGUGUUGGGAUCGUAUUUAAUUGUGCUUUUCAGCUUUCUUGUCACAACAACUUGGGUAUUACUCUUUCUCCAUAUCAAGCUUGAAGUUCUAAAUUUCAGUUUUAUCUUUUAUUUGAUGUUUUAUAAUUUCAUUGCAAACAGAUUAGAAUAGAAACUUCAAAAGUUCCAACUGACUAGUCCCGUGUAACUUUUUCAGGGAAUAUUUUCUCUCAUAACAACUACGAAUGUGUUAUGGUUUAGCUCAGUGACACAAAGGAUAGAAAAUCUAAGAUGCGAAAAAUUUUUGUUGAGAUUCAUUUUUCAUCCUGAUGUUACAGCUGGCCUUUUUUUUUUUUUUUGGCAGAGAAUAAUGCUUGUGUGAUUUCUGAACUUGGUGAUUGUUGAAAUGAGCUGAAAAUGAGCUGGAAAUGUGUUUGGUUAAUGAGAAAGAGAGCAAGAAAAUGAAAGAAAUCUAUUUCACUUUUUAUUUAUCAGCAUGAUUACAUUCACAAUAAAUCUAAGCUGCUAUUUAUACUUAAAUGAAUACACACGAGAAUCUUCUUGCUAGAUACUUCUAGAAACUCUACACGCACACUCACAUUGAGCUAGUGGUUACUAAAACCGUUACAACGAUAUUGCCAGCUCAGCAUAACCAACUUAUAACUAACACACUCAGCUGCAGGGGAAACCAUCAAGCUUACUGUGCAUCCUCUGUACUCAAGCUUCUUUAAGCAUGCUCUGCAGAUCAUACUCAAGCUUUUUUUUUCAUAGAAGUUGCAAUCUUUACGUUAUAUACUAGUUUGACUAGGCUAUAUAAGGAAGCUAUAUGAAAUUAGAAAAAUAAGCUAUACUAGGAAAGAAUAAAUAUAUGUACAGAAAAUUAGGCUAUAAUCUCUGACUUUAAACAAAUUUAAUAUCAAUUUUCUUCUGGAAGUUGUCUCGCAUGGGGCGCAUCAGUAUUGUAACGUCUGAUGGGUCUUACAUUAUCCACAAAAAUAACUCGUCCAUCUAGUACCUGCAAGUACAUACUCUGAGAUGCUUAAACUCAACAAUAUAAGCAUGGAAAAUUAGAGAAAAAUGAUGCAAUUUUACCUUCCCAUUCAUGUCUGCCGAGGCUUUUUGGGCUUCCUCUUCUGUACUGAAAGUCACAUAUCCGUAACCUUUUGAUCUAUUCUUACCUUUAUCCAUUAUUAUUGUAGCUGCAAACAGAAAAGAAUCGGAUAUUACAAAAUAGUGAAGAGGGAAGAGGGGUUGAGACUUAAAACAGAAAUAGACCAAACCCUCAGUGACGUGGCCAAAUUGUGAAAAAGCAUCAGCUAACAUUUCUUUAGUGGUUGAGAAAGAUACGCCUGCAAAGGAUGCCAGUUAAUUUUAUCAUAAUUUUAGAUGGUAAGAUUGCAAAUUCUGCAGCCAAAGGUAGUACGGAACUGAAUGAAGGAAAUCAAAUAUGAAUAUGUUUUCAAUCUCAGAAUAUUAAGAGUAGCAUAAGUAACUUGUGAAACAGUUACAAGUUCAACGGAAUUAACUGAUGGCAUGGUUGAAUUUUGUAAAUAUUUGAUAUUUUGAACCGAACACGGCAAACAGAUGGAUCCAGAUAAUCAAGAAAAACAUCAAUUCCAUGCAACCAAAUUAGUGUGGGCAAUGCAAUUGAGCAACACUAUAAAAUUAUUCAAAGAAAUCUCUAGGUCAGUAUCCAAAUAUAUUUCUGAAAAUGUUUUUUUCUCAUUAGCGCCGCCAUUUUUGUAAUAGAGGGUAAAGAAAUAAGUAACAAAGUAAGAGGUGAGCAGAAGCGGCCCAAUUUAGCUAUAUGCCAUGCAUGCGAUCAAAAUUGAACGGUUAAAUGGCAGCCACUAUGUUACAUCUUGUGUAAGUAACAAACCGCCUACAUGGAUCGUUGGAUUUGGGAAUAUGAAAUCCAAUGGAUAAUAUUGAAUUUAACGAAAAAUAGAUUACAGGUUGCAUUAGUCCAAGUUUAUUUCAAACAAACCAGCUGACGAAAUAGCCGCUAAUCAAAUUUAAAAGGGAAAAAAAAAUCAAAUUAUAGGUUAUAGAUCUUAUUUCCAUCUUAAAUCUAUGUCUUUCGUGGUGACUCAAUUUGUAAACUAAUUUAUAAUUUGGAUCUAUAUUAGAGCUAAUGCUUCCCUAAAUAACUAAGAAAAUUUUCUUUUCAUUGAUUAAAUAUUUAUUUCCAAUAUCUUGUAUAUGUAGGAUUUGAAAAGAGGGAAAAUAGUAGGGAUGAUAAUGAGAGAAGAUAGAGAUGUCGAUUCUCAAAUCUAAUAUUAGUGCUAUACUUAUAUUCCUAUACUAAAUAAAUUAUCCAAGGUUCGUGCUUAACGAUACGUUGCAAAAUUUUAAUUUCUAUUUAAAGCUCUGUCUAAUAUGGCUUUUCAUAAAGCUUAGAGAAAAGUAGAGCUUUUACCAAAAAAAAAUUAAUUAGAAUUGUCAAUGAUAAAUUUUAAAAAGUACUUUAAUAAAUAAGCUUUUAAAGUUAUAUAUAUUAUGAAAGAAAUGAAAUAAGAUUAUAUAAUAAAUUAAGAGUAUCUUAGAUAAUUGAACUUUAAAAAAAAAACUCGCUAAGAGGUUUAAAAUUUGAGUUUUAAUAGUGGAUACAAAAUAGUUUAUUUAAUUCUCAAAAGCUCUACUCAAAAUAGUUUAUUUAAUUCUCAAAAAAUAUUUUUUUCAUUGAGUAAAUAAUACUAAACAUGCACUAAAGUGUUAGGACCAGAAGUUGUACAAAAAAUGAUGGCUACAACUUAAAUUAUGAAUGGAGUAAUCGGAGAAUAUUGAAACCCGUUUAAUUUGGAUCGUGCAUUGAGGGACGAAAGGAUAAAAAAUUUAAUUUUGAAAUUGCUGUUGGGUACGGUACAAUGACUUACCGUUGACAGCUUUUGCAACCGGAUUACAAUCGGUUAGUUCAAUAAUUUUAUAUCCCCAUUUAACCGCCACGUGCUGCUGUUACAUGGGUCAAUUAGUCAUGUCAUUACUGUUACUUACAGAUGCCGUAACAUAACCGGACCCUGGUUAAAUUCUGUUGUUUCCAAUAAUUUUAUGCUGUAUCUUCUUUAAUAAUAAAGAAAACUUGCAUUAAAAUUAAAAUUAGGGUAAUACCUGAUUUUAUAAAUAGAUUGCAAUGUAAUUUUGAAAAAUAAAACAAUAAUUUACAAAAUGUUUAUAACAUAAUUUUAAUUUUUUUUCAAAAAGGAAAAAGAACAAAAGUAAGAAAUAGAGAAUUAGGGCUACAAACUUUGUAUCUUAAACGGCCGUUAGAUUAUUUGUAAAUGAAAGCAACGGUCAGAUAUUGGUGGAUUAUGGAAACAUGUAAUCAUAAGGACUGUGAGUUUUUUUUGUUACAUUAAUAUAUUACAAUCAAAUUCUAUUAGUAUUUACAACUAGAAUUUCAUUUGACUAUCUUUGAUAAUUCUAAACUAGUACAACCCAAAUUCUUAUUCUCACAUAAUAUCAAAGAGAGAUAUAUAUUCUUCUCCUCUAUUAAUAAAGAGACAUUUUUAUUUCCUUUUAAUAGUUAGGACUCAGAACUCAUACACGCUAGUUUGAGAGUGUUGGGUGUGACAAUGAGCCAGGAGACCAUUGACAAGUACAAAAGAGUGGUAGAAAUUAAUUCAAUCCGCUACACACGCUAUUGCAACCAAAUUGAGGGCCCAUUUUUGUUUAUUUGGUUGAAAAAUAGUUUGCAUAAUUAAUUCAAACCGCUACACACGCUAUUGCAACCAAAUUGAGGGCCCAUUUUUGUUUAUUUCGUUGAAAAGCAGUUUGCACAAUUAAUUCAAACCGCUACACACGCUAUUGCAUCUUUUGAAAAAGAAAAACAGAAUAGUUUUCUAAAAUUAAUUCCGAGAAGAAGAUUAACUAAUAAUGAUGUUAGAAAUUUUAAUAUUUGAGUCUUAAUAUUAUGUAUCACUCAUUUAUUAAAUAAUAGAUUUCAUAAUUUAUAAAAUUACUUAACCACUUGAUAAAUGUUAUAUUUGUUGGGACUAAAUUGGGACUUAAAUGUUGGAAUAUCUAGUAUUGCAUUAAAAAAUAAAUAAAAACAUAACAAUUUAUCUUCACUUGACUAAUUGUUUUUACAUCACAACUAACCUUAAUUAUUUUGAAAGUUACAGUAUUAUUAAAUUGUCCUAACUGGUUAUCAAAAGUUGAAGCAUGUUAAAAUAAAAAAAAUUACCAAGAAACAUGUGCUUAAACAGAGGUUAAGGCUAUGAACAAUUAAGAAGAAACUCUUAAUUUGGUCCCAGUUAGUAUAAUAAUCAUCUAUUGAGCGGUAAAAUAUUAAUUUUAAUAGUGAUGAAAUCCAAUAUAUAAUAGAUUAAUAACACACAUAAAUUAAAACUUAACUGUCAGAAAUCAUAACAUUACUCUACUCUUCAGUAGAGUUCUCUUAACAGAUUAUGUGAGAUUGCCUACAUUAAAAAUAGGUUAAGACUGCUUGUUGAAAGCAAUAUUCGCUUUUUCAUUAUAUCCAUAACUUUGUUGGGUCCCUCUAUGGUGCCGUAAUUUUUUUUACGGUAUUAAUAGUGUAACAAAUUUGUACCAUUAGAUAUAAUCAACGGUACACAUUAUUUUUAAUAAUGAAAAUAUUUAAUUAUUUCACAAAUGUUAUAACCGGUUAACAAACCGGUUGCAAAACCUAUUUUAAAUUUAAAAGGAAAGAAAAUAGAGAUAUAAUAAAACUCAAUCUCCUUCUUUAUCUCAUAAAAUUCGUAAUCUGUUUAUCUCCUUUGUUGUUGUAUUGAAAUUGGAUUCCUCAAUGCUGUCUCAGUUCACAAAUGAUUAAUCGUGUCAAAUCGUAAGCUUGUUCUUAUCGUUCAACUUUUUCUCCAUUUAUUGCCACAUUUAUUUGAUAGGUAGGCUUUUAAAUUUAUUGCUCGAUGGUGACAUUAGACAAGGAAUCACAGAUUUGAUGUUCUUUGUUGUACUAAAUUCAUAUCAAAUCUUGCUUUGAUGCUAUAAUAUAUUUAGUUACUACCUUACAUUUUCUUUUUUCACAUUUGAAAACAAAUUCUUUUUAUUCAUAGGAUUACAUAAAGUGCGCAGCCCUGAAGUUUGAACUUCAAAGGAUAAAGUUGCAUUGCAGCAUGUUAAGCAGCAAAGCUUCUUCACUGCAUUAGAUAGAAGACGGUGAAUCAAGUGCAGCCAAGACUUGGCUGAGUCAGCAAUUAACCACCAAUCGUUUAAGAAAGAGGGGCAAAGCAAGUUGAGGCCCACUUAUUAAUCUUAGCCUCUGAUUCCAUUCUCCUUUUCUCCGUCCUGAUUUGAUUAUCUCCAGCAGUGACGCUAAAGGUUAAACUGGCAUGAUCUUGCCCACAUAUAAAUGUAUUUUUUUUUUUUAGGAUCUGAAGGGGCAAAUUUUUUUUUCAAGUUUGUUAUAUGAUCUUUUGUGAAGACCUGAAGAUACGAGAGUCAGAUUAAUAAUUUUGUCUCUCUUAGGCUUUAUGCAGUGGGAAUGAACUUUCUCUCUUUUAAUUCUCUGCCAUUUUCUCAAUGAAGGCAGCAAGAGAAUAUUCAGUCUUUCAAAGUCUCAACAUUCAUAAUUUGGCCAGUCUAGUUGUUUACCUUGCAUCUGCUGGAGUAUUAUAUCGCCAAGAGAUUUUUCCGUUGCACUUUACGAAUUUAUAUUAUUUUGAGGAGGGAAUUCAGCUAACUAUUAAUAUCAUACAAUUGAAAUUUAAAUGUCGGUCUUUAAAUUCUAAAGAUUAAAGACAAGCCUAAUAUGAAAAUACAGAUGUUAAAAUCUUCAUUUUUGUUUAUUGAUACUUUAUUUGUUAGUAUCAUAAUUUUAGAGAUAUAUUUGAUGUUACAUGAUUGACUAAAUAUUAACAUUAAAAUGCAGAUGGAAAGAAAAAAUGAUGGAGGGCUCCAUAAAAGCAUAAAAAGAAACGGAGAUGGUGAAGCAAACUUUCGAAAUUGCAACCAUGAGAAGGAAUUGACAAAGCUUAAUGAAAAAAUGGAUGGGAUGACAUUUAAUCUUGUCGCUGUCAGGCAUGAACUUGGUGAGCUGAAGAGGAACAAUUUAGAUACUUAUGCAUUGGUACAAAAAAUGUAUAGUGUAGUUGAAGCACUUGAACGUAAUAUAACUCAUAUGCAAUCACACGCAUGGAAGGAAAAGAUGAACUCUUCUAGUAAAGAUGUUCAAAAUAGUAAAAAUGAAUCAAGUGGUCAAAAUUUCGUGGAAAAGGGAGAUGAGUUUGGGGUGAAGAUCGCAGAGAUUAAGGACAAGAUUGAAGACGCAUGUGAUGAAAAUUUAUCAUUGAAAAACUUAUUUGUGUAUAGGAAACAAAAAGAGAACCAAAUCUUCCACAAUGUUGUUAAAAAGGUAUGAUAAUAAACUAUUAUUCUACAUUUUUUUUUCAAAAAUAUUUGUAUAGCACAUUCAUUAAACAAAAAAAUAAUAAUAAUAAAAUUCAUGUUCUUAUGCAUGUAGGAUAAAGCCAUGGAUGCAGUUGAUUUUGUGGAUUUGGUAUCAUCGGUGGAAGUAGAUGCAAUUGAGGAUAAAAAGGUGCGUCCUCGAAAGCCCAGUCGUUAUAAAAAAUCUCCUUAUGAAAAUUUUACAAAAAAAAAAGGCUAUCGCAAGAAGGAGUUCGAUUUAUCCAAACAUGGAGCUUCUUUUUCGGAGGAAGAAUGGUAUAUUUUACAGUAUAUUUUUCAUGAACAACUAGAUAAAAGGUAUGGAACUAUUUAAAUAUAAUCAUAUUUUAUAUGUUUGUAUUUUGAUGUUAUUAUUUGUUUUAAUUAACUAUUAAUGUGAGUGUAUAACUUAUGCAGAGAGAAAAUUGUAAUGACAAAACGACAUAUUGUUACCCGCUUCUUAAUGUCUUCUUUAGCUCCUAAUGUUUGGAUAUUUGAUGAGGUAUAUUGUGUUAGUGUGUGUGUCUAAUAUUCAGAGCGUAAUAAGAUUAUAUGUAUUUAAUUUAUAAUUUAUUUUUCAUUUGGUAGUGCAUGUUUUAAUAAUAAUGUUGUGAUGAUUUUAUUCAUAGAUCAUAAGUUGCUAUGCUGAGUAUUUAACUAGAAAGGAGAGUUUGAAGCAAGAUAAUGAGACUCGAAAUUGGUUUUUACCAACUCUUUUUGGGGUAUGUUAUAAAUUUUUGUUGUUACAAAUAUAUAAUAUGCUUUUACAAAAAAAUUAGAAUUUUUUUAAAAUUAUAUCUUACCAUCUUCAUAUAAUUAUUAAUUUAUGAAUGUUGUAGCAAAUAGUGGCGAAUGUGUCAGGUGUUUCAACUAUUGAUAGAUCAGAGAUUGAAAUUUCGGUUCGUAAACAUAACAUUUGUGAAUUUUACAUGGGUGCACUCAAAAGAUGUGAAAAGGUCAGGAAUAUUAUCAUAUGUUCAAAAAACAAAAAAAUUUAUUUACUCAAAUAUCAUAUGUUUUAUUAUUAUCAUUUGAAGGGAGUAAUGAUUAAUACAAAAUUAGUGUAUUGUUGCACAGAUAUAUGUUCCUCUUUAUGACGGGCUUGCAAAACAUUGGUAUCUUGUAAUAAUGAAUAUAAAAGAUAAGACUGCUGAGAUUUGGGAUUCUUUGCCUAAUUCUGAAAUAGAACCAAAUCAUCGUCAAGAAAUCGUUAAGCAAAAUGUAAGUUCAAAUUUUUUAUUUGUUUAUAUGAAAUUACUAGAUGCAAUAUAUAUUAACUAUCAUUAUUAUUAUGCAGUACAUGCAUUGGNNNNNNNNNNNNNNNNNNNNNNNNNNNNNNNNNNNNNNNNNNNNNNNNNNNNNNNNNNNNNNNNNNNNNNNNNNNNNNNNNNNNNNNNNNNNNNNNNNNNCCUAGUCUUGCUUCGUGAUAUAGCCUUUAACUUUCCUUCUGAUUGGGUAUUUCGUUGACUUUGACAUUUUAUAUCCAAAUAAUGUGCCAAUUCAACCAAAUGGAAAUGAUUGUGGCUUGUAUGUGAUGAAGUUUAUGGAGACUCCAUGUGAGAUGUUAUUCCCAACUUAUAAGGUAACUUAAUCAUACAAUUUAUAUUUCUUAGUUUGCACAAUACUUUAAUCAAUAUUAAAUUGUUAUUAAUUCUAUUAUAUGCAGUAUGAAUCGGAUGAAGAAAGAUUUCGUCUUGCGCUACUCCUUGUAAAUGGUGAUGCAAAUGAAGUAAGAGAUAGUGUUAUACAAAAAGCACUAUCAUUCCGUGGUCCUAAGACGAAUGUUAUUGCAACUAGUAAAGUUAGAACUAAAGUUGCUUCUCAAAAAAAACAUCGUUCAAUUAAUAAAGUUAGAACUGUAAUUGGUACUGGAGAAUAUUUGAAGAAACCAGGAAGAAAAUCCAAUUGAUCUGCCUAGUAGAGGUUUAAUAAAUUUGGUAUUGGACGUAAUUUGUAUUUUGUCACUUUUAAUUUUUUUGUCCCCUCAAUUGAAUUUUAUAUUCAAUGUAAAGUUUUUAUUUGGAUUACUUAAUUUUCUUUUUUAGUUUUUAAGUUUUUGGAUUACUCUUUAUGAAAAUUUUGUGUCUUGUUACUUUCAAUUUUUUUUGUCCCCUUUAAUUGACCUUUGUAUUCGAUGUAAAGUUUUUAUUUGGAUUACUCAUUAAGUUUUGUUAGCUUUUGAGUUUAUGGUCUCUUCCAAUUAAAAACUUUCAAAAAAUAAUAGCCUGCUUUUUUUUUUUUUGUGUGUGUUUUAAGUUCAGCCUACAAGUGAAUGACUGUAAGUCGUUAACUAAAAAUCUAAAAAUGUCAAAUGUCAAAUAUUCUUCCGCUUCUCAUCACCUUCUUUUCCAACCUAUAAUAUGCCAAACAAAAAUGCAUCAAUAAAAAUAAAUUUAGAUAACAGCUAAAAUAUUCAACCUUUGUAAGAAUUAUCCUAAUAUAAAUAUACCUCAUUAAGUACUGGACAUUUGCGUCUAUUGUGUCCAGGUAAUUUGCAAUACCCACAUUUUUUCAAAUUGACGCCUUUAUUAAAUCUUGCACUAGGAGCACCUUUCGUCUUCACACUUAAUGGAUCUUUUAUAAUAGCAACAUUUCUCUUCUCACUGGACCAUCUACCUCUUUUCUCUUCAAAAUUCCCACUCAACUCUAACAUUUCAGACUUAAGUUGUGUGAUAAGACCCUUUAAUUUCAAGUAUCCAGCAUCUGUCAUCGAGGCAUAGAAAAAUGUGUCUAGUUACAGAAGAAAUUUACAGAAUCAAAUUUUGACUUCGCUUCUUAAAGAUAUUCACGAUUUAGUGCACAAAGGUCACAACCGUCUAGAAACCACACAAGAUCCGAUGUUUCUGAAUUAACUGAUAUCAAUUAACAAGGAAUAAAAUUAAAAACUAUAUAUCUAUAGAAAGAUUUAUUUUUCAGGAGUUCAAAUAAUUUUACGGUUUUCUAUUUGAAGUUUUCUACAUGAAGAUAUGGCUUAAAGAAUGCUGACUGCUCAAAAUCACUGAAGCAACCAAGUCUAUGAUUAUCAGAAAACUUGCAUGAUUAAACUGUACUGAUCUAGAAUAUAUGAGAUUGCAUACUAUAUAUUUUUUGAUAGAUAAAUAUGUCUAGUUACAGAAGAAAUUUACAGAAUCAAUUUUCGACUUCGCUUCUUAAAGAUAUUCACGAUUUAGUGCACAAAGGUCACAACCGUCUAGAAACCACACAAGAUCCGAUGUUUCUGAAUUAACUGAUAUCAAUUAACAAGGAAUAAAAUUACAAACUAUAUAUCUAUAGAAAGAUUUAUUUUUCAGGAGUUCAAAUAAUUUUACGGUUUUCUAUUUGAAGUUGUCUACAUGAUGGCUGAUGUGUUUCAGCAGAUAUUACAAGAGGAAAUAUAUCUUCUCCCAGUGAUGGUUUUGAGAGAUCGUCCAACUCAUAGAAGCCUAAGUCGAUGCCUGUUCCCGAAGGCUGACGAAACUUCUGACCCAAUCCUUUCUUAAAGGGAAUUUUUGCCGGCAUAUAAGCUUCAGGAAACAGUGGAACAAACUUACAGUUGGGCUCUUCCUUGGCAAAGUAGAAAACAGUGAUGCUGCAGAUAAGAAAAGAAAAUAAAGAGAUAUGGCUUAAAGAAUGCUGACUGCUCAGAAUCACCAAAGCAACCAAGCCUCUGAUUAUCAGCCAAAUUCCAUGAUUUAACUGUAUUGAUCUAGAAUAUAUGACAUUACAUAAUAUAUAUGUUUGGAUAGAUGAAUGUAUCUAGUUGUGGAAGAAAUUUACAGAAUCAAGAUAGACUAAUAAUAACUUAAUAUUAACAAAAUUUUUAUUGUACAUGUUAUUUUAUCAAUUAUAUUUAUUGUAACACUUUAUUUGUAUCAUAUGAUUUUUAUUUGUUAUUUUUAUCCUAUUACUAUAUUUAUAUUUAUUUAGAUUGAUUUAGUCAAAAGGUAUAAUAGUCAUUUAGGAAAUUAAGAGGGUCUAUGUGACUAUUUAUGAAACUAAAGGAACAUGUAUAAUUAUUUUAGCAAAUCUUAGGGGUGUGGGUGGUUUUUUCCGAAAUUAAUAUUGAUUUAAAAUUAAAAAAUUAAUAUUUACCUGUAACCUGUAAGUUACCUGCUCUAUUUUAAUUAAUUAUCUAAUUAUCUAUUAUAUUAAAUGAAUGAUUCAGAUUAAAACUCUUAUAUCUAAGGGUCCACAUUAGUUCCACUAUCAAUACUGUAAAAAUAAAUACAGCAUCAUAAAGAAAUCCAACUUUGAAUUGAUAAAGUUGUAUUCAACAGCUCUUGAAAAGACUAAGCUGGUCUUCUUUGCAUUUGAUCACUGGUAUUUCAGUUAAGUUUGUCGUUUACUUAAAUUUUUCUUGCUUUCAAUUUCCACUGUUGUUUUUUUUUUAAUAAAAUAAUUUGUUUAACUAGUCAUAGAAAUAAGAGAGAAAAUGGGCCAUUUCUUGACUCAAAGUCAAUUAUAAUUAUCAAAACUUGAGCGGACAUUGCAUGCCUAAAUUCCACGCACCCUAAAACGGUUUGAUUUGCUUUCACGCGUUCAUGAUUUUGCAUGAAAGAGAGUGCCUCUCGUCUCUUUCCGGACAGUGACUACAGUCAUGGAAAAAUUAUGUUAACGUGACGAAUACAAAACGUUAUUACAUACAAGAAUAAGUUUUUGGACCCGAGACUUGAGGGAGGUUCUAUCUAAUUCUAAAGAUUGUAACCAAAGCAUUAUCCCCAAUUUUUUUAAGUUAAAUAAAAUAAAAUUUAUGCUUAAGUAUAAAUAAUUUUUUAAAGUUAAAUAUAAAAUAAAAUUCAUGAACUUCCAAGAAAGAAAGAAGACCCUUCACCUUCUUCGUGACAACAAAUGAUGUUGAUAUGACAAAUACAAGCGCUAGUACAGGGAACAGCAUAAGACCGAGACUUGAUAAAUAUUAAAUAUAUAAAAUAAGUGGAGCAAACGAACAGAAUAAUAGAUUUUUAUAAUAUUCUUCAUAAAAAUCCAAGUUUUGAGCUGGCCCAUAAGCUUAUCUAGUGAAGUCUGGGUAUCCGCGUUGCCCAAGGUUCCGUUUGAAUUCAGGCUGUGCUGAUAUUUAUGACAUCCGACGGAGAGGAAAUAUUUUCAGUUGACUAAAUUAAAUAAAAGUAUAUUAUAAUCAUAUUAUAUAUUAGCAACAAAAAUAAAAAGAAAUGAAGAAAAACGCAUGCAAGACUUAGAGAAGUCAAUUAAAAGAUGGGAGUAUCAUCAGUUCAAUUGGUUAUAAAUAGCGUAGAGCCAUCCUCUCGUUGUUGCAGAAGAGAGACAGAAAGAGUGUGUGUAGGUGAUUAUAAUUAAGAAGAUAUAAUGUGUGGUUCAAAAAGAGUGUGGGUGAGUGAGUUAAUACUCAUAUUAUUAGUAGUAAAAGGGUGGUGGAGUGAGGGAUGUUUGGAGCAAGAGAGGUCUGCUCUCCUCCAACUCAGACAUUUCUUCAAUGAUGAUCAACGUCUUCAAAACUGGGUAGACGAUGAGAAUAAUUUAGAUUGUUGUCAGUGGGAAGGGAUUGAGUGCAACAACACCACUGGCAGUGUGAUUAAAUUAGAUCUAGCACAAACUCGAAAAUGGGAAUCAGCGAAGUGGUAUAUGAAUGCCUCUCUGUUUACUCCCUUUCAACAAUUAGAGUCUCUUGAUCUAAUUGGGAACAAUAUAGCUGAUUGUGUUAAAAACGAAGGUCAUUAAUUUACUCUAUUUUAAUUCUUCCUCCUCGUAAUUUCUUACAUCUAUCUGAUCCCUUUUGGCUUUUGUUUAAUUUGUACGUGAUACAAUAAAAUUAUUUUUUUUCAGGUUUGGAGAGGUUAUCAAGGUUGAACAACUUGAAGUUUCUUUUUUUAGAUGAUAACUACUUCAACAACAGCAUCUUUUCAUCUCUAGGUGGUCUUUCAUCACUCAGACACUUAUCAUUGGCUGUUAAUAGAUUGAAUGGAAGUGAUGAUAUUAAAGGUAAGUAAGCUUCAUCCCUUCUCCCGUGUCCCAUCUUUGUGGAUCUUAUUUCAUCGACCAGCUGGAAGUAUUGAUACGAGAUCUAGCUAGACUCUUGCUAGUUUAAGCUUCAAGGCUUUGAAUAUUAUAAAAAUAGGUUUAAGGAAUUAUCAAUAUAUGCAAUUUUCUAUGCUUCUCAUAAUCAGACACAAUUCAAUCUAAUUAUUUCGUAUGUCCUCUCUUCAAAAGUAAAGAAUUGUACACUAAACGGAAAUCGACAUUGUAGCUUUUUAUUUUUUCUAAUGCUCUUUCUUUGUUAACGAGUUUAUAUCCUGAGAGUGCAUUGGAUUCAAAAAAAAAAAAGUUUUGAUGUUCAAGGUAAGCCAUAAUAACAUGCAUCUUAUUUAUCUGUCUAUAUCUAAAUUUGUGCACUGAAUUUAGUAUUUUAGUUAGUGUGAAGGGAUCAGAUAUUGGCUUCCAUAAACCAACUUGUAUUUACUUAAUUAAUUAAUUAACACCAUUUAGUAUUUAACAAAUUAAAAUUUCGUGUUUAAUUUGUCUUAUUUUUUAUUUUUUGAAGCAAGAAUAAGGUAUAGCAGUAGGUAAAGUUGAAAUACAUAUUUAUUCCUUACAAAUUUAAAUUCGUUUUCAGCCAAAUAUACCUACUUAAAACCACUCAAUCAUGCCAUUGGCAACAGUUUUUUAGGUUUUUCUAGUUAACCGUGUACUUUUUUGCUUAUUAAUAAAAUUCUUUUGUGCUGAGAUUUAAAAUAAAGAAGGAGAAAAUAAGUUAUUUAAUUAACCUUGUUUUAAGUGUUGGCAUAAAUGCAGGACUGAAUUCCUUGAGUAACUUGGAGGAGCUGGACAUGACAGGCAAUGCAAUCGAAAAUCUUGUGGUUCCUAAAGGUAUACAAAAUGUUCAAAUAUUAAUAAUUUGGAGGACAGUUUAAUUGAUUUGAUUAGGGAAUGCCCAAAUGACACUUACCCAAAAUAAUUUAAUCCAAAAUUGUAUCCCAAACAGAUUUCAUAGGUUUGAGGAAGUUGAAUACCCUUAAUUUAGGGGGAAGCGAAAUUCGAAUGAUAGAUGGAAGCAAGGUGUUGCAAUCAAUAGGAUCACUACCGUCCCUCAAAACACUUUGCCUUUCAUAUACUAAUUUUACGGGAACAGUAGUUAAUCAAGGUAAGUAAAUCUUUUAUGUCGAAAAUAAUUGAAUUAAUAUAUAUAGCUAAAAUUUAUUGUUUCUACUUCUUUCUACAUAGAAUUGCACAAUUUCACCAACUUGGAAGAAUUGAUAUUGGGCAAAUCUGAUCUCCAUGUAAGCCAGCUUCUGCCAAGCAUCGCAUCAUUCACUUCGUUAAAGUAUUUGUCAAUGGGAGGUUGUAUACUCACAGGUGCCGUACAUGGUCAAGGUAAAUUAUGGGUAUCUGAAGCUUUUAAAUUUUUUCUUUUAAAUUUUUUAUAUUUUCACUGUCCAAUGGUUCUACCUUCUCUAAAUUGUAGGAUUCUUGAUUAAGGUUAAUGAAAUUUUUGUUCUGUUAUGUUAAGAAUAUUUCGAUCGCUUAGAAGAGUAAAGAAAAAUAAGUAAAUUAACCCAAAAAAAAAAGAAAAGAACAGGACCGGAUUAUCCUUAUUCCCUUGCAUUAUGUGAUCAAUAUCAAAAUUAUAACCAUUUCUUGUUUAUUGCUUGUAGAUUUUCGUAAAUUCAAGAAUUUGGAAAAUCUGGACAUGAAUCUGGUGUAUGUUGACGUCAACACCAGUUUUCUUCAAAUUGUCGGUGAAUCGAUGCCUUCUCUCAAGUUUUUAUCACUGACAGAUUCAAUUCUUAAUAAAAACACCAUUCUUGAUCAAGGUUAAUUAAUGAUUCUCCUUCUCCCUCUCUCGCAUCAUAACUAAAUUUAAUUGAGAAUAUCUAUAAUGCGAGCUAUUUAUAAACUUAAUGAAAGAUGAUAAGGAGCCAUAAUAAUGACAAAAAUAACUGUAAAAUAGUGCACUGUUGUAGUGUUGAUUGAAAAAUAAUGCUAAUUUUUUACUUAACAUUAUAACGCUGUAUAAUUUUACAGUUAUUUUGUUGCCAUUACGUCAGAUUAUACUGUUCAACUAUCAGUGAUCAAACUUAAUUUUUAAUGUGUACUUGAAAGAUAUGUAAUUAUUUAUCUAUGUGUACUGAAGGAUGAAUUAUAUAUUUUUCAGGACUUUGUCAGUUAGUGCAUCUGCAAGAGUUACACAUCGGCGGUAAUGAUUUGAGAGGUAGCUUGCCAUGGUGCUUGGCAAACAUGACAUCCCUUCAAGUGUUAGAUGCCUCUUCUAAUCAACUUACUGGAAACAUCUCCCCAGGCCUUUGUGAGUUGGUGUUUCUAAGAGAGUUAUCCAUUCAUAACAAUGAUUUAAGAGGUAGCUUGCCUUUGUGCAUGGCAAAUUUGACUUCCCUUCGAGUAUUAGAUGUCUCUUACAAUCAACUUACUGAAAACAUCUCAUCUUCCCUCAUGCAUCUAAUAUCUAUGGAAGAGCUCAUAAUUUCAAAUAAUCACUUCUUCCAAAUCCCUAUUUCACUUGAACCACUUUUCAAUCUCUCAAAACUCAAGACUUUCGAUGGUGAAAUAUGCGCAAAAACUGAGUCACAUUAUAAUUCUUUGACCCCAAAAUUCCAACUGACUUCUAUCUCACUAUCUGGUUACAUAGAUGGUGGCACAUUUCCCAAAUUCUUGUACCAUCAGCAUGACUUGAAGAAUGCUGAUCUCUCACACCUUAACUUGAGUGGAAAAUUUCCAAAUUGGUUGCUAGAAAACAAUACGAACUUAGAGACGCUUCUUCUUGCCAACAACUCUCUUUUUGGAUCAUUUCGGAUGCCAAUUCAUUCCCACCAGAAAUUGGCAAUAUUGAAUGUCUCCAACAAUUUCUUUCAAGGCCAUAUUCCGGUGGAAAUCGGAACAUAUCUGCCAGGUUUAACGGAUUUAAACUUAUCUAGAAAUGCUUUCAACAGUAGCAUUCCCUCUUCAUUUGCUGAUAUGAAAAUGUUGAAAAGGUUGGACAUAUCCUACAAUCAGUUGACUGGUGAAAUCCCUGAGCGCAUGGCCACGGGUUGCUUCUCAUUGGAAAUUCUUGCAUUGUCAAACAACAGUUUGCAAGGUCAUAUAUUCUCUAAAAAAUUUAACUUGACAAAUUUGAUGAGGUUGCAGUUGGAUGGUAAUAAAUUCAUUGGAGAGAUCCCAGAAAGCUUAUCUAAGUGCUAUUUGUUGGCAGGAUUGUAUCUGAGUGAUAAUCAUCUCUCUGGUGAGAUUCCAAGAUGGUUGGGUAAUUUGUCAAUUUUAGAAGAUAUUAUAAUGCCCAAUAACAAUCUGGAAGGACCAAUUCCAAUCGAGUUCUGUCAGCUUUAUUUUCUGACGAUUUUAGACCUUUCAAACAAUGCUAUUUUUGGAACCUUACCAUCUUGUUUUAGUCCAGCAUCUAUUGAACAAGUUCAUUUGUCAAAAAACAGGAUAGAAGGACGGUUGGAAAGUAUAAUCCAUGACAGCCCCAAUUUGGUGACAUUAGAUCUCAGUUAUAAUCGCUUACACGGAAGUAUUCCAAAUCGGAUUGAAAGACUACCUAAGUUAAACUACAUUCUUUUGGCUAAUAAUUAUAUUGAAGGCGAAAUACCAGUUCAAUUAUGCCAUUUGAAGGAAGUGCAGUUGAUUGAUCUUUCUCAUAAUAAUCUAUCUGGUCAUAUUCCUCCUUGCUUGGUUAACACUUCACUUAGUGAAGGUCAUCAUGAGGCAGUAGCUCCAACUUCUAGUUUGUUGGGUCAACUGCCUGCCUCACCUCCAUCUGAAUCUGAGGCUGCAAGUGGACCUCCGAUGGGAAAGGAAGAAACUGUACAGUUCACAACAAAGAAUAUGUCCUACUAUUAUCAAGGAAGAAUUUUGACGAGUAUGUCUGGGAUUGAUCUUUCUUGUAACAAACUGACAGGUGAGAUUCCUACUCAAAUUGGAUAUCUUACUAGGAUUCAUGCACUAAAUCUAUCUCAUAACAAUUUGACGGGCACAAUCCCGACAACAUUUUCAAACCUGAAGCAAAUCGAAAGCUUGGACCUCUCCUACAACCUACUGCAUGGGAAAAUCCCUUCUCAGCUCACUGUGCUAACUACAUUGGCGGUCUUCAGAGUAGCAUACAAUAACUUAUCAGGCAAAAUCCCAGAUAGAGUUGCACAAUUUUCAACAUUUGAGGAAGAUAGCUAUGAGGGGAAUCCUUUUCUUUGUGGAUGGCCACUGUCUAAAAGUUGCAAUGAUAGUGGAUUAUCAGCAGUGACACCAGAAGCUUACACUGAAAAUGAAGAAGGUGAUAGUUUAAUUGACAUGGACAGUUUCUUGAUCACUUUUACAGUAUCUUAUGGAAUUGUGAUAUUAGGAAUUAUCGGAGUUUUGUACGUAAACCCCUAUUGGCGGCGAAGAUGGUUUUACCUUGUUGAAGUGUGUAUGACCUCUUGCUACUAUUUUGUGGCAGACAAUCUUGUUCCUAGAAGAUUCUAUGGUGGAUGGAUGUAAUUUCAUUUACUUUACAACUUAUAUGUAAUUUUUAAAGAAUUUUCUUUUGCAUGCAUGGAAUAGCAACUCAAUAAAAGUAUUUGAUGCAAAUUGUCCAAGAACAACUUAGUAAUUUCAUUGCUACUAUUCGGUUGUAUAUAUACAGUUAAUGAAAUUUUUAAUCAUUCGCAGUAGGAAUUUCUUUAGAUGGCGGCCAAAACUAACAGAUUUGGGGCUCUACUUCUACACAUCAUAACAGGCAAAAGGUCUCUCUUUUACACGAUCUGAAUCAUUCAAUAGGUGUCUACUUCUACACAUCAUAACAGGCAAAAGGUCUCUACUUCUACGCCCCCUGGAGUUCUCCAUUAAACUUGACGGUUGAGAUUUCAGGUCCAGAUGAAAGUUAAAUGCAGGCGACGAGACUACACUUUAAGUAAACUGGGACAAACUUAAAAUAAAAAAAACUAUAGUCCAGGGUGAGAGUGAUGGGUAGCUCAACUUAUGGAGGAUAACUAGGACUUGGAAUAACUAUCAGAUUUGCAACUCUUGUAAUAUAUAGUGGGCAUUCAGGUAGCAAUUAUCGCCUUGGGAGUUACCGUAAUCGAUUCAUUUCCUCCUUCAUUUCUGAUGGUAACCCAGCUCUAUACAAGAACAAUAAGAGAAGGUUCCUUUAAGAAAUUUCACAACCCACAAUUUUUUUUUUUCCUUUUUGCCCUGUUCCUCACAAUAAACACACCUAACACACCAAGCCGUGCCCAAAAUAAUCCUAUUUUAUUCAUGUCAUGAAUCCAAAAACUAUCCCAGCUCACUUUGUUUAACCAGCAUAACUAAAUUGUGGGUAUAAAUGAACAGACUUUCGAAGCCUGUAACUUAUAAUAAGCUCAAACCCAAAAAUGACAUUUAAAUCCUGCAAGUGUUUUUCAUCAUCCCUAACAAAAAGAAACAAGAAUAAUUAUAUACCAAUAAUUUUUCCAUAAAAAAUACUGAUUUGAGUUGAAGCACUAUACAAACUGGGUUUUAUUACACUUGCAGAAAGCUACACGGUAGACAAAAUCUAGCAGCUACAUAUUGGUAUCACUUUCAGCUGGUCAUGAAUGGUGUGCAUUCAGCAGUGCACAAUAGACCAUGUCUAUGAAUUGAUUGUCCUAUUACAUAUAAAAGCUGGUCAGAUAUACAAGGAAAAAAAUAAUAAUUGAAAAUGCAUCACAAAAAAUAAGUGUUUCGCAUUAGUGUUUGCACUCUUAAGCAUGGCAAAGUGGUGCAGGGUUCAUGAUUUUGAAGACAAUGAUAAGUGAAAAAUAGUUCAAUCCAUUGAUGAACAUAAAUUUAUUUACAUGUCAAUUUAGAUACCAUCAAAAAGUAAACAGUAAUUCACAGUCACUUAAAAUAGUUGAUAAAAUGCGUGCCAUGAAUGCAUUUUUGUACAUAAGAAAUCCAAAGAGUAUUUCUGACAAUACAAAUAUGCUAGCUUUAAGUCUGCUGUCAAUAUGCAAUUAAGAAGAUUAUACCAGCUGCAUGAUAAAGUUCCCCUAAUCUUAAUAACAAUAAACAUGAACAUGUCAGAUGCAAUUCUAGCUUCGACCAUUUGCAUAACCAGAAAUCCUAACCUGAACAAGCACCAGAAGUGCCUCUCGGACUUUCUCCUUGCUGAUAAAUGGUCCACUGUUCCAAGUAAGAGCAGGAGUAAGAGAUGGUGGAGGGAUUGGUGGUGGAAACGGUUGAAGCACUGGGGCACCAUAUGGGCGUUGUAGACUCAAGGGAGUAUUAAGUGGCAGAGCUGUUGGUGUAGAUGAAGAGACAGGCUGCAUCAUCCCCGCAGAGGAGGAUGGAGGAGGAACAAAGAAUAAGGAAGGCUUUACAAGGUUAGGGGUAGGUGCUGACAGAGGUGGAGAUGGUAUUGCAAGGUUGGCACGAUAGGAGAAGCAACACUGGCGGGAUGAGAAGGUAAAGAAAUAGUUGUAUUGGACUGGUAAGGUUGUGCAGAGAUUGCUGCAUUAGAAGUAUUCCCCACAGUCAAAGCUGUCUGCAAUGAUAAGGACAGAUGUCAUAUACAAGGACAUCAUAGAAGUUGAACCUCACACAAAAAUGAAGUGAUAACAUGUGAAAAUAGUAUAUGACUUGCUGCAUUUUUGUGGUAAUGUUGCAUACUUAUGUAGAAACAUAUUAUUUCAAAGAAAACAUACACUGAAGAAGUUCACAAAAGCAGGAUCUUCAGGAACAUCAACAGCAUUUGAGGGAGUUGACUCUAGAGGACCAUCCAUAACUGCCAUAGUUGGAACAGCUUCCAGUUCCUCAAACUCACUGCAGUUUAACAUAAAAGGAACUUGAUGACCAAUUUAAGUAAUAAUUAGAUGAUAUACGAGGUUAGGGAAAAUGAUGAGUGGACCCUUAUGGAAGGUGAUUUCACCUUAGCUAAACAGGAAAAUAAAAAGAAAUCAAAGCUGAAUCCUCGAGUGCAAUGCAAAGAAUUUUUUCUCUCUUCUCUAACUCCUCUUAUUCAAAAUUGCUCAUCAUUGUGCUGUUCUUCGAGAUUUCGCUAGAGUAGAGAAAGCUAUUCUCCCGUUAAGUGCAGAGGAAAGAGAAGGGCAAAGGCCUGGUAUGAUGCUAUUCUAUAAGAAGUGAGAAAGUGAAGGGCUAAAAUAUUUUGCAAUUUGGAGGUGGUGUUUUUCAGUGUGUGUGCUUCUGAAUUUAUUACCUCUUUAGGAUCCAUAGAAAUUGCCUCUUGUUCAGCAUGCACUGUGCCUACGAGUAAGGCGAGCUUGCAUGGUAUCUAUUGUCUAUUUAUUUGGAUAUUCAAACAGGACUACCAGCAACCAAACACAAAUCCCCAAACAAAACACUCUUUCAAGUGCAAGGAAAGAGUAACUUGGGCAUAUUUAUGGUUCAAGCACUACCAUAACUAAGAAUGUGAUGCUGUCCACAAACACUAUAUCAGUGCCUUUUGAACUACAUCACAUGCUCGAAGACUUUUUUUUUAGUCAUACAUAAAUUAGCUAUAAAAUUAAGACUAUUAUACAACUAAAAAGAAAGAAAAAUUGUUUGCUACUACAUAUCAAAACUGGUAAUAGCAAUGUAAGAUGGCAGACUUCUUACUUAAACAGAUGAGAGGCUGCAAAUAAAAAAUUUGUGCAAAUAAAAUAUAUGAUAAAGAGCAUAAUACUUUCUUGGGGGCUAAAAAUAAUAUACAACUUGUGAAAUAUAAAUUGAGCUACCAUU
rnacentral:lncRNA from 1 species